GAUGAACGCUGGCGGCGUGCCUAAUACAUGCAAGUCGAGCGAACAGAUGAGGAGCUUGCUCCUCUGACGUUAGCGGCGGACGGGUGAGUAACACGUGGAUAACCUACCUAUAAGACUGGGAUAACUUCGGGAAACCGGAGCUAAUACCGGAUAAUAUAUUGAACCGCAUGGUUCAAUAGUGAAAGACGGUUUUGCUGUCACUUAUAGAUGGAUCCGCGCCGCAUUAGCUAGUUGGUAAGGUAACGGCUUACCAAGGCAACGAUGCGUAGCCGACCUGAGAGGGUGAUCGGCCACACUGGAACUGAGACACGGUCCAGACUCCUACGGGAGGCAGCAGUAGGGAAUCUUCCGCAAUGGGCGAAAGCCUGACGGAGCAACGCCGCGUGAGUGACGAAGGUCUUCGGAUCGUAAAACUCUGUUAUUGGGGAAGAACAAAUGUGUAAGUAACUAUGCACGUCUUGACGGUACCUAAUCAGAAAGCCACGGCUAACUACGUG
rnacentral:rRNA from 1 species